UACGGAGGGUGCAAGCGUUAUCCGGAUCCACUGGGUUUAAAGGGUGCGUAGGAGGAAAGGUAAGUCAGUGGUGAAAUCUUCAAGCUUAACUUGGAAACUGCCGUUGAUACUAUUUUUCUUGAAUACCGUGGAGGUGAGCGGAAUAUGUCAUGUAGCGGUGAAAUGCUUAGAUAUGACAUAGAACACCAAUUGCGAAGGCAGCUCGCUACACGAAUAUUGACUCUGAGGCACGAAAGCGUGGGGAUCAAACAGG
rnacentral:rRNA from 1 species